rnacentral:rRNA from 1 species
AUUGAACGCUGGCGGCAGGCCUAACACAUGCAAGUCGAACGGUAGCAGGAAGCAGCUUGCUGCUUCGCUGACGAGUGGCGGACGGGUGAGUAAUGUCUGGGAAGCUGCCUGAUGGAGGGGGAUAACUACUGGAAACGGUAGCUAAUACCGCAUAAUGUCGCAAGACCAAAGAGGGGGACCUUCGGGCCUCUUGCCAUCGGAUGUGCCCAGAUGGGAUUAGCUUGUUGGUGGGGUAACGGCUCACCAAGGCGACGAUCCCUAGCUGGUCUGAGAGGAUGACCAGCCACACUGGAACUGAGACACGGUCCAGACUCCUACGGGAGGCAGCAGUGGGGAAUAUUGCACAAUGGGCGCAAGCCUGAUGCAGCCAUGCCGCGUGUAUGAAGAAGGCCUUCGGGUUGUAAAGUACUUUCAGCGGGGAGGAAGGGAGUAAAGUUAAUACCUUUGCUCAUUGACGUUACCCGCAGAAGAAGCACCGGCUAACUCCGUGCCAGCAGCCGCGGUAAUACGGAGGGUGCAAGCGUUAAUCGGAAUUACUGGGCGUAAAGCGCACGCAGGCGGUUUGUUAAGUCAGAUGUGAAAUCCCCGGGCUCAACCUGGGAACUGCAUCUGAUACUGGCAAGCUUGAGUCUCGUAGAGGGGGGGUAGAAUUCCAGGUGUAGCGGUGAAAUGCGUAGAGAUCUGGAGGAAUACCGGUGGCGAAGGCGGCCCCCUGGACAAAGACUGACGCUCAGGUGCGAAAGCGUGGGGAGCAAACAGG